AGAGCGAACGCUGGCGGCAGGCUUAACACAUGCAAGUCGAGCGCCCGUAGCAAUACGGGAGCGGCAGACGGGAUAGUAACACGUGGGAACGCGCCCUUCGGUUCGGAAUAACUCAGGGAAACUUGAGCUAAUACCGGAUACGCCCUUACGGGGAAAGAUUUAUUGCCGAAGGAACGGCCCGCGUCCGAUUAGCUAGUUGGUGAGGUAAUGGCUCACCAAGGCGACGAUCGGUAGCUGGUCUGAGAGGAUGACCAGCAUCACUGGGACUGAGACACGGCCCAGACUCCUACGGGAGGCAGCAGUGGGGAAUAUUGGACAAUGGGCGCAAGCCUGAUUCAGCCAUGCCGCGUGGAUGAUGAAGGCCUUAGGGUUGUAAAGUCCUUUAACGGGGAAGAUAAUGACGGUACCCGUAGAAUAAGCCCGGCUAACUUCGUGCCAGCAGCCGC
rnacentral:rRNA from 1 species